rnacentral:rRNA from 1 species
UGAGUAGGCGGUAAUAUGUGUCAGAUGUAAAAGGCUAUGGCUUAACCAUAGUUGGCAUUUGAAACUGUAUUACUUGAGUGCAGGAGAGGUAAGUGGAAUUCCUAGUGUAGCGGUGAAAUGCGUAGAUAUUAGGAGGAACACCAGUGGCGAAGGCGACUUACUGGACUGUAACUGACGCUGAGUCACGAAAGCGUGGGUAGCAAACA